AGGGAGGUUGUAGCUCGUCGGUGGUGCACGAGUCAUUUCAGGAGUUGCUAGCUUUCAGCAUAUACGAGGUACUAGCGAGGACCGUGGGAAGGCGCCGGCAUGAUCGAUACACACUGAAGAUUGUUUUAUGAUCUUGGGAGUUUGAAUAAUUGUAU